AUCAUGGAGAGUUUGAUCCUGGCUCAGAACGAACGCUGGCGGCGCGUCUUAAGCAUGCAAGUCGAGCGGUAUAGAGGGGCGUGCUCCUCUAGAGAGCGGCGGACUGGUGAGUAACGCGUGGGUGACCUACCUUAAGGAUGGGGAUAGCCGUUAGAAAUAGCGGGUAAUACCGGAUGUGGUUAUCCUGCUGUGGCGGGAUAACGAAAGGGGCUUUGGCCCCGCCUUGAGAUGGGCCCGCGUUCCAUUAGGUAGUUGGUGGGGUAAAGGCCUACCAAGCCGAUGAUGGGUAGCCGGCCUGAGAGGGUGAACGGCCACACUGGGACUGAGAUACGGCCCAGACUCCUACGGGAGGCAGCAGCUAAGAAUAUUCCGCAAUGGGCGGAAGCCUGACGGAGCGACGCCGCGUGGAUGAGGAAGGCCGAAAGGUUGUAAAAUCCUUUUGCUGUUGAAGAAUAAGGCGGGGAGGGAAUGCCCUGCUGAUGACGUUAGGCAGCGAAUAAGCCCCGGCUAAUUACGUGCCAGCAGCCGCGGUAACACGUAAGGGGCGAGCGUUGUUCGGAAUUAUUGGGCGUAAAGGGCGCGUAGGCGGUUGGACAAGCCCGGCGUGAAAUGUAUCGGCUUAACCGGUAGAUGGCGCUGGGAACUGUGUAACUAGAGUCAUGGAGGGGCAGUUGGAAUUCCGCGUGUAGGGGUGAAAUCUGUAGAUAUGCGGAAGAACACCGGCGGCGAAGGCGAACUGCUAGCCAAUGACUGACGCUGAGGCGCGAAAGUGCGGGGAGCAAACAGGAUUAGAUACCCUGGUAGUCCGCACUAUAAACGAUGUGCACUAGGUGUUGGGCCGAGCGGUUCAGUGCCGAAGCGAACGUG
rnacentral:rRNA from 1 species